AGCGKGAAACUACCACGAGGUUAAAGCGAGUGAGCGUUCGUAUCCGAACGGCUGGAUUCAACCUCCCCCAUCUGACAUUCAAAAGCGACGGGAGGUACGUAAUGCGUGAUAAUAACGGAUCUCCUUCGCGUUCUCGGUCCUUACGGUCCGAGGCGCGGGGGCUGACCGGCGUAUCCUUUCGUACGCUCGGAAAGGAGGGUGCUCUUCUGGCCGUAGUAGGGCGUCGCGGCCGUUUCGUGAGGGUGUCGAAGACACGAGGGUCAGGGAAGACGCAUCUUCGCGCCGCGGGACGCUUCGGCGUUUCGCAUCGCGCGUCGAGCGAGGCCGCCUCGUUGAAUCUGACGGCCCUCGGGACGGUUAAAUCAAGGCUAAAGCGGGUCCGCGACGGGGUGGCGUCCCCUCGCUUCUUCUCCUAUCGGAGAACGAGGCGAAGGCGUCCCCGAAUAAACGUCCUGAACCCGCUACGCGGCGUAGACUCCUGCGACAGCUUACUCGUCCCGUCUUGAAACACGGACCAAGGAGUCUAGAACAUGCGCGAGUCAAAGGGCUGGCUAAACCCCAAGGCGAAACGAAAGUGAAAGAAUGGGAUUCUUUUUUCAUUGGGCCGAUCCGGUUCGGGGUGGCUGGCGGGGACUUUUAAUUCCCGUUCUUCCCCCCGAUUUGUCGUACUAAUAUGCGGACGGCGCAGGCCCGGGGCUCGCGUACGCGACCUCCCCGUCAUUAAGGCUCGGUCGUCGGCGUCGGCCGUCUUACACUCGGUAGGUUCGCGGCGUCGCCCGCGUUUCGUUUUCUCGUUCCUCGGUUCUCUCCGUCAAAAGAGAGGGUCGGGGGUCGGCGGGGGAGCGAGCGCGAAGCGUACGUUCGCGAGCUGAUCCCGUACUGUGGGGCGUUCGUGACGGCGAUCCGCCGGCGUGGGACGAGCAGCGGGUUCUCUGAGCGCAUAUUCUGGUACCCGAAAGAUGGUGAUCUAUGCCUGGCCAGGAUGAAGCCAGAGGAAACUCUGGUGGAGGUCCGUAGCGAUUCUGACGUGCAAAUCGAUCGUCGGAGCUGGGUAUAGGGGCGAAARACCAAUCGAACCAUC
rnacentral:rRNA from 1 species